UCUGGCCGCGCGCGCUGAUGCCGCCUCACGCUGCUGUUCCGUCCGCGCCGCCUGCUGCCAGCGCUCGGGUAACCCGGGAAGGCCAGAGUCAACCAGCCCCGGACCAGCGUCCCGCACCCUGGCCGUCCCGGCCAGCCUGGAUGUAGACGGUAAGGAAGGGGAGGCAGAGACUCAGAUGGCUACACAUCUGACAUGAGCCAUUUAAGCUAUCAGAGACUGAGCAACCUCUUCUAUCAAAUGAAGUCUCUGCCGUAGAGACUGGCUACUAUCUCCCUGCUUCAGGCUUAUUCAUCCUUCAGAAGUCAGAAGCUUCCUGGACCUUCCUGGUUAGGAGGAUGCCCUUACGAGACACUCGGCUCCCCUUGGCCCCCGCCUCUCCUUUGGCAUCUAACAUCUCCCUCUCCUUCUCUGCCUCCCUCCUCAUUUCCUCAUCCUCAUGGCUGAAGUGAAAAACUCCAAUAUGGCGAAACCAUGUGAUGAAAUAUGUUUGGAUCACCACACGGAGGGAAACUGCUCGGGAAGGAUGCCUGACCGCGUCAAUCUUCCCAAUAUGAGAGAAAGAAAUGUUUGUAUUUUGUAGAGCCUAAGGCUUGGAAGUUCUUUGUAAAAGUCAACUUGAACUUAGAAAGCUGGCGUCAUACUUUCCUAAUUUGUUUUUUUAAAUCAUCACCUUCCAGA